GACGAACGCUGGCGGCGUGCUUAACACAUGCAAGUCGAGCGGUAAGGCCCUUUCGGGGGUACACGAGCGGCGAACGGGUGAGUAACACGUGGGUGACCUGCCCUCAGCUCUGGGAUAAGCCUGGGAAACCGGGUCUAAUACUGGAUAUGACUCCAUGACGCAUGUUGUGGGGUGGAAAGCCUUGUGCGGCUGAGGAUGGGCCCGCGGCCUAUCAGCCUGUUGGUGGGGUGANGGCCUACCAAGGCGACGGCGGGUAGCCGGCCUGAGAGGGCGACCGGCCACACUGGGACUGAGACACGGCCCAGACUCCUACGGGAGGCAGCAGUGGGGAAUCUUGCGUCAAUGGGCGAAAGCCUGACGCAGCGACGCCGCGUGAGGGAUGACGGCCUCGG
rnacentral:rRNA from 1 species